rnacentral:rRNA from 1 species
CCCGCACAAGCGAGGAACAUGUGGUUUAAUUCGAUGAUACGCGAGGAACCUUUACCUGGGUUUAAAUGGGAAGUGACAGCUUUAGAAAUAGAGCCUUCUUCGGACACUUUUUCAAGGUGCUGCAUGGUUGUCGUCAGCUCGUGCCGUGAGGUGUCGGGUUAAGUCCCCAUAACGAGCGCAACCCCUAUUGAUAGUUACCAGCACGUAAUGGUGGGGACUCUAUCGAGACUGCCGGUGUAAACCGUGAGGAAGGUGGGGAUGACGUCAAAUCAGCACGGCCCUUACAUCCAGGGCUACACACGUGUUACAAUGGCCGGUACAAAGGGCAGCUACUCCGCGAGGAGAUGCGAAUCUUAAAAACCGGUCUCAGUUCGGAUCGAAGUCUGCAACCCGACUUCGUGAAGCUGGAUUCGCUAGUAAUCGUAUAUCAGCCAUGAUACGGUGAAUACGUUCCCGGGCCUU